CCAAGUCCCGUCGCGAUAACCCCCCCCGGCGCCGGGACUCUCCCGAGCCGGGUCUCGGCGCCCUAACCCCCCCUGGGCGCCGGGGUCCGGCUCCUUU
rnacentral:ncRNA from 24 species